rnacentral:rRNA from 1 species
AUUGAACGCUGGCGGCAGGCCUAACACAUGCAAGUCGAGCGGAGCGGCGGACGGGUGGGUAAUGCCUAGGAAUCUGCCUGGUCGUGGGGGAUAAAGUCCGGAAACGGGAGCUAAUACAGCAUACUAUCAGAUGAGCCUAGGUUGGAUUAGCUAGUUGGUGGGGUAAAGGCAUACCAAGGCGACGAUCCGUAACUGGUCUGAGAGGAUGAUCAGUCAAACUGGAACUGAGACACGGUCCAGACUCCUACGGGAGGCAGCAGUGGGGAAUAUUGGACAAUGGGCGAAAGCCUGAUCCAGCCAUGCCGCGUGUGUGAAGAAGGUCUUCGGAUUGUAAAGCACUGUAAGUUGGGAGGCGUUACCAACAGAAUAAGCACCGGCUAACUUCGUGCCAGCAGCCGCGGUAAUAC